rnacentral:lncRNA from 1 species
GAAUCCCCUGCAACUGGAAUUAUAGAUGGUUGUGUCACCUUGUGGGUAUUAGGAACCAAACCCAGGUCCCCUACAAGAGCACACAUGUCCUCCCAACUGCUGACCCAACUUUGUUACUUACUUAUCUUUACAAUAGGAUCAUGCUGUUACACAGGCUGGCCUCAAACUCCGCUCAAGCAAUCUUACUGCUUCACAUUCCUAAAAAACUUAGGCCUACAGUUAAACAACACUGCACCCAGCUAGCUACCCUGCCCCCAGUUUUGGGGUUUUGGCGAUUUGUUUUUGUGGGGUUUGUUUUUGUUUGUUUGUUUGUUUGUUUGUUUUUCUUGAUUUUUCAAGACAGGGUUUCUCUGUGUAGCCCUGGCUGUCCUGGCACUCACUCUGUAGACCAGGCUGGCCUCAAACUCAGAAAUCCGCCUACCUCUACCUCCCAAGUGCUGGGAUUAAAGGCGUGCGCCACCACUGCUCGGCCCCAGUUUUUUAAAGACAGGACGUCAUGUAGCCCAGGCUGUCUUCAAAUUCACUUGGUAGCUGAAGUGACCUUGAAGUCCUGCUCCUCCUGCAACAAGAAAGUACUAGGAUUAUAGGCAAAUCCACCAUGGCCUGACUCACCCUUUACCUCUCUUAAAGAGAAAGAGAAGGGUGCUGAGAGACAUGGUGCCUAUUUAAAAUAUACGUAAGUUGACUGACAUUUAAGGAAUUUUUUGACAUUAAAUGAAUUUUCUGUUUCAAUUGGUAUUCCUACACUUUCUUUUUUUUUUUUAAUAUUUUAUUUAUUUAUUAUAUGUAAGUACAUUCAGACACUCCAGAAGAGGGCAUCAGAUUUUGUUACAGAUGGUUGUGAGCCACCAUGUGGUUGCUGGGAUUUGAACUCAGGACCUUUGGAAGAGCAGUCGGCGCUCUUAACCGCUGAGCCAUCUCACCAGCCCUCUUACACUUUCACUAUGCUAUUGUGCUGAAAUGUCAGUGAGAAGCUUAGUGAUCUCAGACCUUAGACAGUCUUUGAGGAUAUCGUGAUCUUGUUUUGUUUUGGAAUCAGGGUUUCGUGUAGCCCAGGCUUAAGCUUACUCUAUAGCUGAGGAAGACUCGGCUUUUGAUCAUGCUAUCUCCCCCUCCUAAGCGCUAAAAUCACAGACAUGUAUCACCAUCCCUGGCUUAUGUGGUACUGGGGGGCACAACUUAGGGCUAUGUGCAUGCUAGACAAGCACGCUACUGUAAAAUAUCUUUUAUUCACCUAAUGAAAUUGUCAUCUCCAAGGCUUACUGCAGGGGAAAAAAAAGCUCACCUUUUCUAGCUCUUUCUGAUCUCUGGCUGGCUGGCUCAACUCAGCUGUUCAGGCUCAAAGUCCUCUCCAAGCUGACUGAUUCAAUCUGGCUUCUCUCAGCUUCUCACUGAAUUGCUCUGCUUGGCCUUAUACUUACUUGGGCAUUAUGCUCUAAUACUCUGGCUCAUUCUUACUCUCUGACUUCAGCUGCCUCUGCUCACCUGCACUGAACUACAUGAAUUCAUGAACAAACUCAGUUCCACUGCACUGCACCGCACUGCACUGACUCCCAACUGACUGACCAAGUUCGGAGAUCUGCAUGCCUCAGUCUCCUCGGAUUAAAGGAGUAUCUGUUUCCCAGUUAGAUGACAGAGGCCUAGAAGGUUUUAUGAUCUCUUGCCAGAGCAGCCCUGCUGCUGUAUUAAAAUUCCUCUGCACUCUGAGCUAUAUCUCAGGCAGUCUUGAGUCUUUCUUUGUUGGUUUUGCCACAAUUUUUAAAUUACAUUCAGUUAUUUAUGUGUUCAUUUGUUUGGGGUGUGUGUGUGUAUACACAUGAACACAUGUGUACUCGAAAGUGUAGAGGUAAGGCAACUUGCAGGAGUAAGUUCUCCAACUUUGUGGGUCCUGGAGAUCAAACUUGGAUCUUCAGCCUUGCCAGCAAACAUCAUUACACAUUGAGCCAUAUUGCUGGUCCCAGCUUUGUUUUUUUUGUAGUGCUUGGAAUCAGACCUUGUGCAUGCUGAGCCAGCACUGUGCUACUGAUCUGUACUCUCGGCAUCGAACCAUAAUCUGCAUUUACUUACAUAGCAGUCAGCUACUUUAAUCAAAUGUCUGUUACAAGGCCUUUUCUCAACUGUAUGGGAGAUUUACAUGGGGAGGUUAUUGGUGCCUAGGAAUUUGAAGCCAACUUGGGCAAUAUAACAAAAUCCCAUUUCAAAAAGGGGGAAACCCCUACAAAUGAUUUGUGAUAACACAAGUGUCUAGAAUUUCUGAUUUAGAGAAAUCUAAAGGCUGUUAACAAAGAUAACAUUUACUUAUUUUACUUAUACAUGUGUUUUGUCUGUAUGUAUGUAGGUGUACCAUGAGUGUGCCUAGUGCUCACAGAGGUCAGAAAAAGACAUUGACUCCCCUGUAACUAAAAUUACAGAUGGUUAUGAAACUCCAUAUAGGUACUAGAAAUUGAAUCCAGGUUAUCAAGAGCAUUCAAUGCACUUAUGACUGAGCCAUUACCACCACCACCACCACCACCUCCAGCUUGCAAAACCACUAGGAUCAAUAUCUGAAUGACAGCCGGGAGGUGGUGGCGCACGCCUUUAGUCUCAGCACUUGGGAGGCAGAAGCAGGUGGAUCUCUUGAGUUCGAAGCCAGCUUGGUCUAAAGAGUGAGUUCCAGGACAGCCAAGGCUACCCAGAGAAACAUUGUGUAAACACUG